UACGUAGGGUGCGAGCGUUGUCCGGAAUUAUUGGGCGUAAAGAGCUUGUAGGCGGUUUGUCGCGUCUGCUGUGAAAAUCCGGGGCUCAACCCCGGACUUGCAGUGGGUACGGGCAGACUAGAGUGUGGUAGGGGAGACUGGAAUUCCUGGUGUAGCGGUGAAAUGCGCAGAUAUCAGGAGGAACACCGGUGGCGAAGGCGGGUCUCUGGGCCGAUAUUGACGC
rnacentral:rRNA from 1 species